CGCCGAGGUGCGGGCCCUUGCCCGCACCAAGGUGAAACCCGAGCGAGGGCUCAAAAAGCCCGAGCUUUUACCUAUGAAGAUAUGAGACCAGCAGGGGCUUCCGGGCUGGUACCCGGAAAAUCUGUGGGAUCCUUGGUGGCUUGGUUCGGUCGCUGCAUUGGGACUUUUCCAGGCUUGCUAUGGCUCUCGCCGAUCCGUCCCCUAACCGAGGGUGACCA
rnacentral:ncRNA from 1 species